AGCCAGACUCCUACGGGAGGCAGCAGUGGGGAAUAUUGCACAAUGGGGGAAACCCUGAUGCAGCGACGCCGCGUGAGUGAAGAAGUAUUUCGGUAUGUAAAGCUCUAUCAGCAGGGAAGAAGUUGACGGUACCUGAGUAAGAAGCCCCGGCUAACUACGUGCCAGCAGCCGCGGUAAUACGUAGGGGGCAAGCGUUAUCCGGAUUUACUGGGUGUAAAGGGAGCGUAGACGGCAGUGCAAGUCUGAAGUGAAAGCCCCGGGCUUAACCCGGGAAUUGCUUUGGAAACUGUACGGCUGGAGUGCUGGAGAGGUAAGCGGAAUUCCUAGUGUAGCGGUGAAAUGCGUAGAUAUUAGGAGGAACACCAGUGGCGAAGGCGGCUUACUGGACAGUAACUGACGUUGAGGCUCGAAAGCGUGGGGAGCAAACAGGAUUAGAUACCCUCGUAA
rnacentral:rRNA from 1 species